GCUGGGCACUGUAGCGUAUACCUGUAAUCCCAUCAACUCAGGAAGCUGAGACAGGAGGAUGGAGAGUUCAAAGCCAGCCUCAGCAAAAGUGAGGCACUAAGCAACUCAGUGAAAUCCUGUCUUUA
rnacentral:sRNA from 1 species